rnacentral:pre_miRNA from 1 species
CACUUUCCUCAUGGCAUGUAUCGUACUUGCUACUUGACUUUAGGGGAAAUCGAGCAGCGAGAGACAUGAAUGCAGAGCUGCCAACAGAAAAGAA